rnacentral:lncRNA from 1 species
AUUUUUUGUGGAGACAGGAUCUCGCUGUGUUGCCCGGGCUGGUCUCAAACUUCUGGACACAAACAAUCCUCCACAUUGGCCUCCCAAAAUGCUGGAAUUACAGGUGUGAGCCACUGGACCAGCAGGACUCUAAAUUUUGGUGCUCAAAAAACAUUUGUUGAGUAAGUGAACCUGAGACUAUCAACAAGCAUUAUUUUAAAAUCACUAGCAAAGGGACAGGACCUCUAUAUGUUGCUCAGGCUGGAGUGUGGCAGCUAUUCACGGAUGUGAUUAUAGUACACUACAGCCUCAACUCCUGGGCUCAAGCAAAGCUUCCCAAAUCGGUGGGACUAUAGGCACACGCCACUGUGCUGUUCAAUAAUAAGAUUUCUGUCUAACACCACUGCGCCUGUUUCCUUGAUAAAUAUUUAUUAUCUGUGUUUAUUUAUUUUAUCCUGGGAGAACAUACAAGAUUUCGGGGUCAGAGAACAGACUGAUUGUUUUAUGUACAGCAAUAACAGCACUGGCUCCCCACUCCCUAUUUCUCCUUUGAAGCCGUGCUGUGAAGGUAGAUGUCAGCCUGCACAUGCAAAGGGGUCGCUGCAUAAGACGAAUCCUGAAAUUGUGUAACUGGGAGUUUAUAUGAAGUGCCUCUCAGCAGCCCCGCCAACCCUCCUCCCUCUAGAGAGGGGAAGAGAAGUCAUCACUGUCUAAUGUGAAGGAAUUCUCUCUGGGAAGGGAGGAGACGGUCCCUAAAUUGUUACAACCCUUUGAAAUGUAAAGGAAGCCUCUGGAUUGUUUCUCAUUCUUUUAAAUGUAAAUAAAUGGCAAAUGGCUCUCAAGGCGAUCAAUUUUUAACUCUAUCUGGA